rnacentral:misc_RNA from 1 species
CAGCCGUCACGGUCUCACGGACCGCGCCCCAGCCGCCCUGCGUUGCUCCCUGGGCUUCGUCGCCACCGGUAAGAUCUUGCCUGAUCUCGCCGCCUUCCUCCCUUCUUCCUUGCCUUGCUCCCUACUCGCGGCCACGCUCGGCGCUCGCGCCGCUGCCUCCCGGUGCUAUCCGUGCUCGCUUCUUGUGCAGCUGUGCUGCCCGCUGCCUCCCUGUGCUGCUCGGCGCUCGCGCUCGGCGUCGCUGCUGCGUCUCUGCCCUGCUCAGUGCUCGUGCUUGCGCUCGGCGUCGCUGCUGCGUCUCUGCCCUGCUCAGUGAUCCAUUAGCUAAUUCAUCUCUUGUUGGAGAUGACUCUCUUCUCACAUGGGAGCAUGUUGAUCAUGCCACCGGUGCAUCUACACACCUUCAAGGCCGCUACUUUCCUAUGAGAGCCCAUGGUAUUCAAGUGUCAACAGUUGAGGACAAUGAAGAUUGGCUUGAUGUGGGUGAAGAGAAUGAAGAUGAUGAAAAUUUUGUGCUUGUGUGCUAUGUUUGUGCCUUUGUGGUUGUGGACAUUGCAUUCCACUUUAGUUGCUUUAGUGCUAUGUUUGUGAUUGUGGACUACUGCACAUUUCAUUCCACUUUGUUUGUGGUUGUCUACUUGCUAGUUGCUAUUAGUUGAACACUUGAACUUGUGUUAUUGUGGAUUUGCGGUAGUGUGGUUAUGGACAUGUUACAUUAUUAUGUGAAA